UGCGCGUCGGGAACUCGACGGCGACAAGGACGGAGACCUGUUGCAACGUGAGGGUGCGCGUGCUCUUCGCGGAUGUGCGGUUUAACGACGAAGGGAACCGAGUUCGCUCGUUCC
rnacentral:misc_RNA from 1 species